AUGUCAGAAGUCAGCAGAGCACUAAGGAUGAGGUGGCUAUGGUUGGAAUGGUAUCUUGCACGACUGCCAUGCGUAGGUUUGGAUAUCCCAUGCGACGACCAAGACCGAGAGGCUUUUGCCAAGGCCACUGCCAUCUCCACUAGGGACGGCAGAACGACGAGCUUUUGGAAGAGCCGAUGGAUUGGAACCGAGCCACUUCAACGAAGUUUCCCGGCAAUCUUCAUGCACUCGAGAAGGAAGAAUGGAACGAUCACUGAUGCCUUGAGUAAUGACAAGUGGUUGACUGACCUGCAGCACGGCAGCACUCUAGCAAUCACUGUCGACACCCUCGGGCUUUGGAGGUUGGUGCAGGACACGCAGCUCAACCUAGACGAGCAUGACAAGAUUCGCUGGCUUAGAGAUGUACACUGUGAGUUCUACAUACCAGAUGCAAUUUCAGGCCUUGGAAACAACUUGCCUCAGAUCCUGCAUUUAGAAACCAUGGGAACCGGCAAAGCUCAAGAUGUUCUUCUGGUUGUUGCAUCUGAUAGGCUAUGGUGGAAUGACCGGCUGCUACGCAGGGGCUGGCCAAAUGGCUAUUUAUGCGUGCUCUGA
rnacentral:rRNA from 1 species